rnacentral:rRNA from 1 species
GGCCGCGGUAUUUUGACCGUGCAAAGGUAGCGCAAUCACUUGUCUUUUAAAUAGAGACCUGUAUGAAUGGCUAAACGAGGGCUUAACUGUCUCCCCUUUCCAGUCAGUGAAAUUGAUCUACCCGUGCAGAAGCGGGUAUAAUAAUACAAGACGAGAAGACCCUUUGGAGCUUAAGGUACAAAACUCAACCACGUUAAGCAACUCAAUAAAAAGUGAGAACUUUGUGGAAUAUGAGAUUUUACCUUCGGUUGGGGCGACCACGGAGGAAAAAAAAGCCUCCAGGUGGACCGGGAGAAUUUCCUAAAACUAAGAGAGACAUCUCUAAGCCACAGAACAUCUGACCAAAUAUGAUCCGGCUAAUACAAGCCGAUCAACGAACCAAGUUACCCUAGGGAUAACAGCGCAAUCCUCUCCCAGAGUCCAUAUCGACGAGGGGGUUUACGACCUCGAUGUUGGAUCAGGACAUCCUAAUGGUGCAGCCG